GAACAUUCAGGCUGCACGCUCAUUAGCUGGACAAGUUUUACAGGAUCAAACACUUGCUUCGCAGACCCAACCUCCAAUGCGAAAGCAACAUGAAUCAACCUUCAAUAUCAAUGUCUUCUACUUCAGUUUCUCCUCCAAGUCUUCAAUCUCAGCCUAUGCCUUUACACCCUCUACAGACACCACAGUUGGCAAAGGGACAUCCAAACCCACAAGUGACCCCAAUUUCUGUUCCGCAAUCCUCUCAAGUUCCAAAUCCUCCACCUCUUCAUUCUGCUUCACAGCCACAGCCACUCCACCAACCCCAAAUGCCUACUGUCUCCACUCAGUUGCAACAGCCAUUACGGACAACUGGAAUUGCUCAUCCGCCUUUGCAACCACCAUUGCCUCCCCAAGCUAGACUACCUUCUGUUCCAAGCUUUCAUCAUCAGUGUGGACCACAAAUGGGGCCCAAUGUGGGUUUCCAGCAUUCUGGUGCUCAACAUCCUUUGCAACCCAUGUUUCAUUCUGGUAACAAACCUCAAGCUAGCAUGGGGUCUUCAUUUUCACAGGGACAGCCACCCCUUCCAAAUCAGUUACCACCACUGUAUCAGGGGGGAGGUUCACACUUAGGGCCUGAGUUCAAUAAUCAAGUUGGAAAUUCAAUGCAAGUUGAUAGAGGACCUUCUUGGAUAUCUGGCCCACCAGAGAGCUCAGGAAGGAUACAGCUUCCUGGACCACAGGCAAUGGCUCCUGGUCAGAUGGGCCCUGGCAGUCAGCCCACUCGUGCUGCACCAUUGACUCCUGAGAUGGAGAAAGCGCUACUUCAGCAGGUCAUGAGCCUCACCCCAGAACAGAUUAAUCUCCUACCUCCUGA
rnacentral:misc_RNA from 1 species